GACGAACGCUGGCGGCGUGCUUAACACAUGCAAGUCGAACGGAAAGGCCCUGCUUUUGUGGGGUGCUCGAGUGGCGAACGGGUGAGUAACACGUGAGUAACCUGCCCUUGACUUUGGGAUAACUUCAGGAAACUGGGGCUAAUACCGGAUAGGAGCUCCUGCUGCAUGGUGGGGGUUGGAAAGUUUCGGCGGUUGGGGAUGGACUCGCGGCUUAUCAGCUUGUUGGUGGGGUAGUGGCUUACCAAGGCUUUGACGGGUAGCCGGCCUGAGAGGGUGGCCGGCCACAUGGGGACUGAGAGACGGCCCAGACUCCUACGGGAGGCAGCAGUGGGGAAUAUUGCACAAUGGGCGGAAGCCUGAGGCAGCAACGCCGCGUGCGGGAUGACGGCCUUCGGGUUGUAAACCGCUUUCGCCUGUGACGAAGCGUGAGUGACGGUAAUGGGUAAAGAAGCACCGGCUAACUACGUG
rnacentral:rRNA from 1 species